AUGGCGCCGAGCGUGGAAACCAACGGCCUCAAUUUCACGAACCCAGAGAUCGAUGGCCAUCCUCCCCUCGGGUUUGAACCCUCAUCGACUACUUGUCGCUCACGCUCGAUUCCAGCGAUCGCCGUCUUCUCAUUGGGUCCAAUGGUAAGACUACUACAUUGAAGAUUAUUAGGAGGGAAGCAUAUAGUGGAGCCUCACAUGGUCCGCGUGCUUGGAAGAUUGGCAUUCCAUGACACUGCAUUGACAUCUUCUGGGGAUCUCUAUUACCUUGGAGGAAAGUGGAGGCCAAAAGUUGCUUUUGCGGGCUUUGAAGUUCCUAAACAAAGGGUGUCUCUGCUGAGAAAAUGAUAUUUGGGGUGGCAAGAAUAGAUCCACAAAGAAGAGCUGAGCUAAUCAAGGUGAAACAAUAACUUUCGGGACAUAAAAUGAUUUGAGAACAGCUUUUAUUUUUUUCACCAAAAAAAUGCUGAAUUUUGAAGUAUAUACCAAAGGGAAAACUUUAAAUAAAAGCUUGAAAUAUGAUAAUUUUUUUCAAGAAAGGGCAUGAAGUAUAUAUUGUUUUAAAUAAGGGCAUGAAAUGAUCAACACGAUCUUAAAUAAAGGCUUCAGUGAACACACGCAUCUCGCAGACACUUUUGAAGUUACUAUUAAGGGCAUUUUAGUCCAAGGAUUUCUUUUCUUUA